GCGCUUUCUUGAACACUGCCUAACAUGUAGUUCAAAAUAUUUUAGAUUGCCAAACAAAUAAAUAAUUAUGCAAAUUUAACGCCGAUGAAAUAUUCCGAAUCUACACAUUUCAGUAAGUUUUAAAUAUAUUAUAGCUAAAUUAUAGUAACUUUUAAAAUUGUAUUAACUAAUUAUUCGCGUCUUCUAAACUUUAGCAACUAACACGGAUUUGAAAAUUAAGAAUUUAUGUUUAAAAUAUAUUAUUACCAUAUCUCAUCAUAAUAAGCACAUUCUAGAAUUAUACCAUUUCACCAAACUGACUCCAUUAGUUCUAUAAAUACAAACCUCUACUCAAGAUCUAAUAUACCACUUGAAUUAUUCAAACACACAAAAAAAAAAACUCAAUCCCAAAUUUAGUGUAUCACUUUGAUCCCAAAGUGUCCAAGCUUAAUUCUCUUUAUUCUUAUGCAUUGUUUAUCAGAAUAUGAAACUAAUGUCACCAUUGUCGUUAUAUGAAACAGGAUGAAGAAGACAUCGAAUAGAAGGAGGCCUAGACCAUCUCUCAACUCUCAAACCCGAAAUUCAUGAGGAAUUGUUUUUCAUAUAAUUUCUCAAGAAAUUAGAAACUUACUUGGAUCAUGCGGAGAACCAUAUACGACUUAUCCAAUAAUCAUAUCUUUUCUCCUGCAAGGAUAUGAGCUUUUAAAGGAAUGAGAGUUGUCACGCCAAUUAGAAGUUCAAAGAAACUUAAAAGUAAAUUCUUCAGGUUCAUGUAAGAGUUUCUAUUUAAAAGACGUUUUUUUCUAUAUGUAUACAUUCAGCAGAUGUUUGAAAGAUCAGUGGUUGUUAUUUUACUAAUCAAGUUUUGUUUCA